ACGAACGCUGGCGGCACGCUUAACACAUGCAAGUCGAACGAACUUGUAGAGCUUGCUCUACAAGUUAGUGGCGUACGGGUGAGUAACACGUAGGAACCUGCCCUUGAAUGGGGGACAACUCCGGGAAACUGGAGCUAAUACCGCAUAAUCUCGAGAGAGGAAAGGCCGAAAGGUCGUUCAAGGAGGGGCCUGCGUCCGAUUAGGUUGUUGGUAGGGUAAUGGCCUACCAAGCCGAUGAUCGGUAGCUGGUCUGAGAGGAUGAUCAGCCACACUGGGACUGAGACACGGCCCAGACUCCUACGGGAGGCAGCAGUGGGGAAUCUUGGACAAUGGGGGAAACCCUGAUCCAGCGAUGCCGCGUGAGUGAUGAAGGCCUUCGGGUUGUAAAGCUCUUUUGGUAGGGACGAUGAUGACGGUACCUACAGAAUAAGCCCCGGCUAACUCCGU
rnacentral:rRNA from 1 species